rnacentral:rRNA from 1 species
UACGUAGGGUGCAAGCGUUGUCCGGAAUUAUUGGGCGUAAAGAGCUCGUAGGUGGCCUGUCGCGUCGGCUGUGAAAACUCGGGGCUCAACUCCGAGCUUGCAGUCGAUACGGGCAGGCUAGAGUUCGGCAGGGGAGACUGGAAUUCCUGGUGUAGCGGUGAAAUGCGCAGAUAUCAGGAAGAACACCCGUGGCUAAGGCGGUUCUCUAGUACGGUACUGACGCUGAGACGCGAAAGCGUGGGGAGCGAACAGG